rnacentral:rRNA from 1 species
UGUAUUUUGUUCUGGGUUGGGGGUGGAAGUUUGUGUUUUUUUUUAUUCACCCAGGGGGGGGGCCGGCCGGGGGAAUCAAUUACUCGCUGGCGACCGGCGAGGGGGGGGAGGAACAUGUACCCCACCCUUCCUUUAACGGGGAGGAUACCCCCUCGAAGGAGGGAUUAAUACUCCGUAACAUAAUGAAGUGGCCAUCACUUUAUUAUUAUAGCUCCCGGCGGUUAAAGAUGGGCGUGCAACUGAUUAGAUAGUGGGCGGGGGUAACGGCCCACCAAGUCUGCGAUCAGUAACUGGUGUGAGAGCACGACCAGUCACACGGGCACUGAGACACGGGCCCGACUCCUACGGGAGGCAGCAGUAAGGAAUAUUGGUCAAUGGACGCAAGUCUGAACCAGCCAUGCCGCGUGGAGGAUUAAGGCCCUCUGGGUUGUAAACUCCUUUUAUCUGGGAAGAAAUGUGUUUUUUCUAAGACACUUGACGGUACCAGAGGAAUAAGCACCGGCUAACUCCGUGCCAGCAGCCGCGGUAAUACGGAGGGUGCAAGCGUUAUCCGGAUUCACUGGGUUUAAAGGGUGCGUAGGCGGGCAGAUAAGUCAGUGGUGAAAUCUUCGAGCUUAACUCGGAAACUGCCGUUGAUACUAUUUGUCUUGAAUAUUGUGGAGGUAAGCGGAAUAUGUCAUGUAGCGGUGAAAUGCUUAGAUAUGACAUAGAACACCAAUUGCGAAGGCAGCUUACUACACAAUGAUUGACGCUGAGGCACGAAAGCGUGGGGAUCAAACAGGAUUAGAUACCCUGGUAGUCCACGCCCUAAACGAUGAUUACUCGACAUACGCGAUAUACUGUGUGUGUCUGAGCGAAAGCAUUAAGUAAUCCACCUGGGAAGUACGAUCGCAAGAUUGAAACUCAAAGGAAUUGACG